AUGAACGCUAGCUACAGGCUUAACACAUGCAAGUCGAGGGGCAGCAUGGUCUUAGCUUGCUAAGGCCGAUGGCGACCGGCGCACGGGUGAGUAACGCGUAUCCAACCUGCCUUACACUCUUGGACAGCCUUCUGAAAGGGAGAUUAAUACAAGAUGUUAUCAUGAGUAAGCAUUUUCGCAUGAUUAAAGGUUUACCGGUGUAAGAUGGGGAUGCGUUCCAUUAGAUAGUAGGCGGGGUAACGGCCCACCUAGUCUUCGAUGGAUAGGGGUUCUGAGAGGAAGGUCCCCCACAUUGGAACUGAGACACGGUCCAAACUCCUACGGGAGGCAGCAGUGAGGAAUAUUGGUCAAUGGACGAGAGUCUGAACCAGCCAAGUAGCGUGAAGGAUGAAGGUUCUAUGGAUUGUAAACUUCUUUUAUACGGGAAUAAACGAAUCCACGCGUGGAUUUUUGCAUGUACCGUAUGAAUAAGGAUCGGCUAACUCCGUGCCAGCAGCCGCGGUAAUACGGAGGAUCCGAGCGUUAUCCGGAUUUAUUGGGUUUAAAGGGAGCGUAGAUGGGUUGUUAAGUCAGUUGUGAAAGUUUGCGGCUCAACCGUAAAAUUGCAAUUGAUACUGGCAGUCUUGAGUACAGUUGAGGUAGGCGGAAUUCGUGGUGUAGCGGUGAAAUGCUUAGAUAUCACGAAGAACUCCGAUUGCGAAGGCAGCUUACUAACCUGUAACUGACAUUGAUGCUCGAAAGUGUGGGUAUCAAACAGGAUUAGAUACCCUGGUAGUCCACACGGUAAACGAUGAAUACUCGCUGUAGGCGAUAUACAGUCUGCGGCCAAGCGAAAGCAUUAAGUAUUCCACCUGGGGAGUACGCCGGCAACGGUGAAACUCAAAGGAAUUGACGGGGGCCCGCACAAGCGGAGGAACAUGUGGUUUAAUUCGAUGAUACGCGAGGAACCUUACCCGGGCUUAAAUUGCAACCGAAUAUGGCGGAAACGCUAUAGCUAGCAAUAGCGGUUGUGAAGGUGCUGCAUGGUUGUCGUCAGCUCGUGCCGUGAGGUGUCGGCUUAAGUGCCAUAACGAGCGCAACCCUUGCCGAUAGUUACUAACAGGUUAUGCUGAGGACUCUGUCGGGACUGCCAUCGUAAGAUGUGAGGAAGGUGGGGAUGACGUCAAAUCAGCACGGCCCUUACGUCCGGGGCUACACACGUGUUACAAUGGGGGGUACAGAGGGCUGCUACCACGCAAGUGGAUGCCAAUCCCAAAAACCUCUCUCAUUUCGGAUUGAAGUCUGCAACCCGACUUCAUGAAGCUGGAUUCGCUAGUAAUCGCGCAUCAGCCACGGCGCGGUGAAUACGUUCCCGGGCCUUGUACACACCGCCCGUCAAGCCAUGGGAGCCGGGGGUACCUGAAGUGCGUAACCGCAAGGAGCGCCCUAGGGUAAAACUGGUGACUGGGGCUAA
rnacentral:rRNA from 1 species